rnacentral:rRNA from 1 species
UAGGGAAUCUUCCACAAUGGGCGCAAGCCUGAUGGAGCAACACCGCGUGAGUGAAGAAGGUUUUCGGAUCGUAAAGCUCUGUUGUUGGUGAAGAAGGAUAGAGGCAGUAACUGGUCUUUAUUUGACGGUAAUCAACCAGAAAGUCACGGCUAACUACGUGCCAC